AAUUUACAUCUUAAAAAAAUUUUUUUUCAGAUAAUUACAGAUUCACAUGCAUUUAUAGGAAAUAAUACAAAGAAAUUGUAUAUGCCAUUCACCCAGUUUCCUACGAUGGUAACAUCUUGCCUAAUUAUAGUAUACUGUCACAACCAGCAGUUGACAUUAACAGAAUCCAUCUACUGUAUUGAGAUUUCAUCAGUUUCACAUGCAGUCCAUUUCAUGUGUCUGUGAGUGUUUACUUCUAUUCAGGUUUAUCAAAUGUGUAGAUUUGUAUGGCCGCCACCACAGUCAAGAUGCAGAACAACUCCACCACAAGGAUUUCUCAUGGUACCUUUUUAUAGCCACAGCCACCUUUCUGUCUCUUCCUUACCCAUGAUAACCACUCAUCUGAUCUACAUAUCUGUACUUUUGUCAUUUCAAGGAUGCUGUAUAAGUGUAAUCAUACUGUAUGUGACCUUUUGAGAUUGGCUUUUUUCACUUAGCAUAAUUCCCUUGAAAUUAAUCGGAGAUGUUGUGUAACAAUAGUGCCUUGUUUUUUUAUUGCUGAAUAGUAUUCCAUAGAUGAUGCACCACAGUUUGCUUAGCUAUUCACCUGUUGAAGGACACUGUGUUUGCAUGUUCUGGCAAGGCCCUGGCACAGCUGGAACUCAGGGAGGAUUAAAAGAAGUAUUUAUUGUACUUUUACUUCU
rnacentral:lncRNA from 10 species